rnacentral:rRNA from 1 species
CGGCUUUGCCAGCAGCCGCGGUAAUACGUAGGGCGCGAGCGUUGUCCGGAAUUAUUGGGCGUAAAGGGCUUGUAGGCGGCUGGUCGCGUCUGCCGUGAAAUCCCCUGGCUUAACUGGGGGCGUGCGGUGGGUACGGGCCGGCUUGAGUGCGGUAGGGGAGACUGGAAUUCCUGGUGUAGCGGUGGAAUGCGCAGAUAUCAGGAGGAACACCGGUGGCGAAGGCGGGUCUCUGGGCCGUUACUGACGCUGAGGAGCGAAAGCGUGGGGAGCGAACAGGAUUAGAUACCCUGGUAGUCCACGCCGUAAACGUUGGGCACUAGGUGUGGGGGGCCUUUCCGGGUCCUCCGCGCCGCAGCUAACGCAUUAAGUGCCCCGCCUGGGGAGUACGGCCGCAAGGCUAAAACUCAAAGGAAUUGACGGGGGCCCGCACGAGCGGCGGAGCAUGCGGAUUAAUUCGAUGCAACGCGAAGAACCUUACCAAGGCUUGACAUGUCGGCGAUUCCCGCGGAGACGCGGUCUCCCCCUUGUGGGGCGCCGUCACAGGUGGUGCAUGGUUGUCG